GGUGGUCGUUUUACCUACAGCCAAAUCAUGGAGCUUCACGCCACUUGGCUCAAGGGAGAUGCCGUUUGUUUGUUUUUUUAAAUAGUUUCAGAAGCGAACGGAGGGUACAAGUUAUAUUGUAUUUGAAAACACAAAGUAAAAAAAAAACAACUUAGCAUGAUACUAAAUGCCCUUAGACCAGUAGCUGGCCACUUGGAGUGCCUCAGAUGUUGCUGUAAGAAGGUCCUCCAUUGUGCAUGUGGCAGGACUCAGACUGCAUUGUAGUAGGUGGUCUGUGGUUUGAUCUUCUCCAUACUCACAUGUCGUGGACCCCAUUUCUUAAGGUUGGCUCUGCAUCUUGUGAUGCCAGAGCGCAGUCUGUUCAGCGCCUUCCAAGUCUCCCAGUCUUCUGUGUGCCCAGGAGGGAGUCUCAUCUGGCGUCAACCACUGAUUAAGGUUCUGGGUUUUAGCCUGCCACUUUUGGACUCUUGCUUGCUGAGGUGUUCCUGUGCUUGCUGCUAAGCUGGCCUCCAAACUACACCUGAAAAGACUACCCAGAAUAUGUAGGAAUUCUGCAGAAUGAAGAAUUUUAAAAGAUGACAGCAAUGUCUGCCAACUCCUGCUAAGAAAGAAGUUCCCCCAAUGGUGUCAGCCUCCACUUCCUUGGGCUCAAAGAGGCCACUAUUACAAGGAGUUAUAUAUUCAUGGAAAUCUGACUUCUGUGCCUGUAUCUUCUGAUUCCAGAGGGUGAGUAUAGCACAUCCUCGUUUCUUAUAUUUUCUACUUCUAGUACACAAGCAGUUAAUGCAAACUGCAUAAAAGUCAUCUUAAAUGGAUAUUAGUUCUAAUCUUUGUUUUACAAAGCUUUGCAAAGGCUUCACCCAGAAGUUACUGGAAAUGUUUAUGUUGUGACUGCACCUUCGGGGACUGUGGAUGAUGGUGGUGGGAUCAGGAGAGGAAGGAAAAACCCUCGCGAGGAGGGCUCGUUGGAGGAUUUGUACAGAAAGAGAAUUAGGGACCUCAAUGGGGAGUCUUCUGAGGAAGAUUCAGAUGGGGAGUUUGUGGAAGAAAUGGAUGCUGGUGAACAGGUGGUGGCUGAGGAAGUGGGCACUGACUGGGCACGGGCACCGGAGAUGCCUGGGGAAUUGGGGCCCAUGGAUACUGCUGAACCUUGGGUAUCUUCAGAAGCAGAUCCCACUUGGUCUGUUUGGAGGAGGGAGGAUGGAUCCUCAGGUGUGCAUGGUGUUGGGUGUAGGCAGGAUGAUUGGAAUUCAGAUGAAGAAUUAGGCACGCCCGAUGCACGAGCUCUAGCUGUGUGGAGUUCUGACUCUGAUUAAGGAUUUGGGACACCUGCUCUUUGGGUGUUGGUGUUUGGACACCCAGGGAGAAUUGGGAUAAAUUGGGAGUGUUUGGUCACUUCACUUUGUGUGUGGCAAGGUGUUUCUGGGCGCCAUUGGGAUUCCUGUACGUGUUUAAGAAGACUGGACUGGGACUUUGCUUCAGAUGUAAGUUUAUCUGGGUUGCUCUGCAACGGAGGGCUGGAACUGUGUGGGUUUUCCUGGACUGCACUGUUAUUACUAUUUUUAGCUGCUGUUGCCUUCGUUGCCUUGGCUCUUUGUGCCAAUUCGUGGACCUAGAAUUGAUGACUACAGCCUCUGGACCCUGGACUGGAAUUCGACCCUGUUUCUGCCUUUGCUCUCUGAUUAGUCUACCCACGGCUCUUGACUUCUGGCUUGCCUCCUGACCCUGCUGCUGUCUCCUGUCCUGACCCUGGAUCAAUCUGACGACAUCUCUUCGCCUUGUCCCUUCAGCUUCUGGCAUUACCUGCACUGUUGAAGCAGUUUGCUGCUGUUCCUGCUAUUUCAACUCCGGACCGAGUUUAUUUACAGGCUCUUUUGCCUGGUUUUUAUUUCUGUUUGGAGCUUUGUGUUUAAACUGCUAGCUUGUGACUCUUGGGAGUUUUUUGGGGCGUUUCCAAGUCUCUGUUUUGUUUUGGUUGUUUUUCCAAGCGAACUUAGUUUGUUUAGAGCUGAAUUGAAGCACCUUUUUGUUUUAUCUGGAUUAUUUGCUUGGAAAAUCCGGUUUGGUUGCUAAAGCAUACUUUUUGAUAUAUUUUUGUUUGGACUGCUUUAAAAUACUGAAAGUUAAGUGUUUAAAGCCAUCUUUUGUGUUUGUGUCUAAUUUUUGGGCUAUCUCUUGAAUAAACUCUGUUUUGCUCUCAAA